rnacentral:misc_RNA from 1 species
CCGCCCGCCCACCCCAUGACGGAAACCCGCCGCCGGCGAUCCCGAACGCGCGCCCCGCCCCCUUUCACUUUUCGCGCCGCCAGCGCCGCCCAUCCCACCACCAAAGAAGCACGCGCAACAACGCACGCCUCGCCACACCGGCCCCCUGUGGGCUCAUGAAAGCGCGGCGCGCCGCCUGCGUUUGGUGUCUCUUCGCCCGGGCUUGCCACCCACCCCACCCCGCCAGCAGGGUCGCCCGCGUUUCGGCCGCGCCGCCUUUAUUUCCCAUGGUGUUUGCUUUCGGUUGGUCCUCAGCCCCCCGCCCCCACCCCGCAAAACACAGAAUAAGCCCAAGCCCCCCCCUGCAUGUGCCUACGGCAGCGUGAUCGCCACGACGCUGGCUGAUCGGGCGAGGCGGCCCCACGCAACCCACCCGCCCCCUUCCCAGCCCACAUGCUCAUGAAAAUGCGAGCGCGCUUGCGCGUCAUCGCCGGCCACUCCACGCACACACUCCUCCUCCUCCCCUACACACUUCUUACACGCUACGGGGCGGAGCCGAUAG